GGGGACUGGAUUGCAGGUUUAUUUCCAAAGAGGAUUUGAUUUUGCUUUUCUGAUGAGUACCAGGGAUAGUGCAAGAGCAUUCUGGUUAAACCAUUGACCACGAGACAACUUCUUAUAGGAAGAGACACUGGAGUGCUCUCUUUCUCUCCCAUUCCACCUUAUGAGGGCAAAGUAAGAAGGUGCCCAUCUGCAAACUUGGAAGAGAGUCCUCACCGGAAACUGACCCUGCCAGACCUUGAUCUUGAACAACCUCCAGAGCUAAGACCGGGGUGGAGGAAGAUAACACUUUGAUCUGCUUUGGCUGCAGUGUGGAUAUUGCUCAGCUCUCUAAUUUGGUGGUUAUAAAGAAGGGAGAACAAUGGAAGGCAGUGGGCUAGUUCCAGUGUCUCUAAUCUAGUGAAAGGAGCAUCUGAUUUCAGAAUCUUUUGGAGAAGGACUGAUGAGAGUAAAAUUGCCUGUGAUUCUCACUACUGAAUAACUAGUAUCUACGAGCCUAAAAGGU